AUUGAACGCUGGCGGCAUGCUUUACACAUGCAAGUCGAACGGCAGCGCGGGCUUCGGCCUGGCGGCGAGUGGCGAACGGGUGAGUAAUGCAUCGGAACGUGCCCAGUAGUGGGGGAUAGCCCGGCGAAAGCUGGAUUAAUACCGCAUACGACCUGAGGGUGAAAGCGGGGGACCGAAAGGCCUCGCGCUAUUGGAGCGGCCGAUGUCGGAUUAGCUAGUUGGUGGGGUAAAGGCUUACCAAGGCGACGAUCCGUAGCUGGUCUGAGAGGACGACCAGCCACACUGGGACUGAGACGCGGCCCAGACUCCUACGGGAGGCAGCAGUGGGGAAUUUUGGACAAUGGGGGCAACCCUGAUCCAGCCAUGCCGCGUGCGGGAAGAAGGCCUUCGGGUUGUAAACCGCUUUUGUUCGGGAAGAAAUCCUCUGGGCUAAUACCCCGGGGGGAUGACGGUACCGGAAGAAUAAGCACCGGCUAACUACGUG
rnacentral:rRNA from 1 species